ensembl:lncRNA novel transcript (contains ZIM2-AS1 and PEG3-AS1)
GGCGUUUUAGCGGGAGAUCCGAGCGUCUCGGCUGGUGGAAGGGGCGAGGAGCUUUGCAGUUGUGUGCGAGUGUGUACAGCUUUGAAUCUGCUGUUAUUAAGUUGCUGGUGCUGAAAUAACACUUAUUAUUUAUGAUCUAACUGAAAUGGGAACACUGGAAACUUCUUUGAAACUGAAGAAAAAAAUGAAAAAGAAGUUUUUACAAUCAAAACUGCCAUGAAGACUGCUUUACCCAAAAUUUUGGUCCACAGCUUUCAUUGAAUUACUUAUCAGGGCAAACAAAGUUUAGCCAUGUGAACACGUUCCAAUUUUGUUGGAAAUAAUUUGGAUCCAGCUAUCUUUAUACAAUGGUGAGUUCGUAUUGCAUCUCAUGGCUAAAAUACUGAGGUAAAGGCUUUUGGAUCUUUGUGUGUGUGUGUGUGCAUGUGACAAAAACAAGCAAUGGGGAAAGGAGUCCCUAUUUAAUAAAUGGUGUUGGGAGAACUGGCUAGCCAUAUGCAGAAAGUUGAAACUGGAGCCCCUCCUUAUACCAUAUACAAAAAUCAACUCAAGAUGAAUUAAAGACUUAAAUGUAAAAACCCAAACUAUAAAAACCCUAGAAGAAAAUCUAGGCAAUACCAUUCAGGACAUGGGCACAGGCAAAUAUUUCAUGACAAAGAUGCCAAAAGCAGUAGCAACAAAAGCAAAAAUUGACAAAUGGAAUCUAAUUAAACUAAAGAGCUUCUGUACAGCAAAGAAAUUAUCAUCAGAGUGAACAGACAGCUUACAGCAUGGGAGAAAAUUUUUGCAGUAUAUCCAUCUGACAAAGGUCUAAUAUUCAGCAUCUACAAGGAACUUAAACAAAUUUACAAGAAAAAAAAACAACGCCAUUAAAAAAUGGGCAAAGGACGUGGACAGACACUUCUCAAAAGAAGAAAUUUAUGUGGGCAAUGAACAUUUUUUUUAAAAAAGCUCAACACCACUGAUCAUUAGAGAAAUGCACAUGAAAACCACAAUGAGAUACCAUCUCACACCAGUCAGAAUGGCUAUUACUUAAAGGUCAAAAAACAACAGAUGAUAGCAAGGUUGUGAAGAAAAAUGAACACUUUUAUACGUUGGUUGGAGUAUAAAUUAGUUCUACCCUUGUCGAAGACAGUGUGGUGAUUCCUCAAAGACCUAGGGGAAGAAAUAUCAUUUGACCCAGCAAUCUCAUUACUGGGUAUAUACCCAGAGGAAUAUAAAUCAUUCUAUUAUAAAGAUACAUGUGCAUGUUCAUUGCAAAAUAGCAAAAACAUGGAAUCAACCUAAAUGCUCAUCAAUGACAGACUUGAUAAAGGAAAUAUGGUACGUAUACACCAAGGAAUACCAUGCAGCCAUAAAAAGGAACAAGAUAAUGUCUUUUGCAGGGACCUGGAUGGAACCAGAAGCCAUUAUCCUCAGCAAAUUAAUGCAGGAACAGAAAAGCAAAUACCACAUGUUCUCACUUGUAAGUGGUAGCUGAAUGAUGAGAACACAUGGACACAUGGUGGGGAACAAUACACACUGGGGCCUGUUGCAGGGUGCGGAGUGGGAGGGAGAGCAUCGGGAAGAAUAGCUAAUGCAUGCUGGGCUUAAUACCUAGGGGAUGGAAUGAUCUGUGCUGCAAACCACUAUGGCACACAUUUACCUAUGUAACAAACCUACACAUCCUGCACAUGUACCCCUG